CCUACGGGUGGCAGCAGUAGGGAAUCUUUCACAAUGGGCGAAAGCCUGAUGCAGCAACGCCGCGUGCAGGAUGAAGGCCUUCUGGUUUUAAACUGCUUUUAUAAGCGAGAAAUAUGAUGGUAACUUAUGAAUAAGGAUCGGCUAACUACGUGCCAGCAGCCGCGGUCAUACGUAGGAUCCGAGCAUUAUCCGGAGUGACUGGGUGUAAAGAGUUUCGUAGGUGGCAUAAUAAGUAGCUAGUGAAAUCUGGUGGCUCAAACAUUUAGACUAUUAUCGAAACUGUUAAGCUCGAGACCGUUAGGGGUAACUGGAAUUCCUAGUGUAGGAGUGAAAUGCGUAGAUAGUAGAAGGAACACCAAUAGCGUAGGCAGGUUACUGGGACGGUUCUGACACUAAGGCACGAAAGCGUAGGGAGCAAACGGGAUUAGAUACCCCAGUAGUC
rnacentral:rRNA from 1 species